GGUGAACGCUGGCGGCGUGCUUAAGACAUGCAAGUCGAACGGCAGUCUUCGGACUGUAGUGGCGCACGGGUGAGUAACGCGUAACUGACCUACCCCAAAGUCGCGGAUACCGAUUCGAAAGAAUCGCUAAUACGUGAUGUGCUGUCAGAUUGUGUUCUGCCAGUAAAGAUUGAUUGCUUUGGGAUGGGGUUGCGUUCCAUCAGCUAGUUGGUGGGGUAAAGGCCCACCAAGGCGACGACGGAUAGCCGGCCUGAGAGGGUGGCCGGCCACAGGGGCACUGAGACACGGGUCCCACUCCUACGGGAGGCAGCAGUUAGGAAUCUUCCACAAUGGGCGAAAGCCUGAUGGAGCGACGCCGCGUGAGGGAUGAAGGUCUUCGGAUCGUAAACCUCUGAAUCAGGGACGAAAGACACUUCGGUGGGAUGACGGUACCUGAGUAAUAGCAUCGGCUAACUCCGUGCCAGCCGCCGCCGUAAAAC
rnacentral:rRNA from 1 species